UCCCAGCCAGGACACAGCAUGGACAUGAGGGUCCCCGCUCAGCUCCUGGGGCUCCUGCUGCUCUGGCUCCGAGGUGCCAGAUGUGACAUCCAGGUGACCCAGUCUCCAUCUUCCCUGUCUGCGUCUGUAGGAGACAGAGUCACCAUCACCUGCCGGGCAAGUCAGGGCAUUAGCAAUGAGUUAUCCUGGUAUCAGCAGAAACCAGGGCAAGCCCCUACACUCCUGAUCUAUGCUGCAUCCAGUUUGCAGUCGGGAGUCCCAUCUCGGUUCAGUGGCAGUGGAUCUGGGACAGAUUUCACUCUCACCAUCAGCAGCCUGCAGCCUGAAGAUAUUGCAACUUAUUACUGUCUACAGGAUUAUACUACCCCAUUCACAGUGUUACAAGCCAUAACAAAAACCCCCCAGAGAAGCAGAUGUGACUCCUCAGUUCACCUUCUCACAGUGAGGCUCCCUGCUCAGCUCCUGGGGCUGCUAAUGCUCUGGAUCCCUGGGUCCAGUGGGGAUAUUAUGAUGACCCAAACGCCACUCUCCCUGCCUGUCAUCCCUGGAGAGCCGGCCUCCAUCUCCUGCAGGUCUAGUCAGAGCCUUGUUUACAGUGAUGGAAAAACCUAG